AGUCACUGACAUUAGAUACCCGGGUAGUCCAGGGUGUAAACGCUGCAGACUUGGUGUUGGAAGUCCUUUGGGGGGCAUUCAGUGCCGGAGAGAAGUUGUUAAGUCUGCUACUUGGGAGUACGUCCGCAAGGAUGAAACUUAAAGGAAUUGGCGGGGGAGCACCGCAACGGGAGGAGCGUGCGGUUUAAUUGGAUUCAACACCGCAAACUCACCAGGGAAGACUGUUACAUGAAAGCCGAGAUGAAGACUCUGCUAGAUUUCAG
rnacentral:rRNA from 1 species